CCACUCCAGGGCAAUAUGCUUUGCUUCAUUCUGAGGCUUUGGAAAGCAUCACUUUGGCAUUGGCAGAAAACAGCUGUGGGGCCCCAAUCCACACACUAGUGGAUGUGAAGUCAAAGUCGAGCAGAAGAACCGUAGGCUUUGCAUUGACUGUCUCUUGAAAGGAACAAAUGAUUUCCACUCCAGGGCAAUAUGCUUUGCUGCAUUCUGAGGCUUUGGAAAGCAUUACUUUGGCAUUGGCAGAAAGCAGCUUGUGGGGCCCCAAUCCACACACUAGUGGAUGUGAAAUCUAGACAAGUCAAGCAGAAGAACCGUAGGCUUGGCAUUGACUGUCUCUUGAAAGGAA